rnacentral:rRNA from 1 species
AGUGAACGCUGGCGGUAGGCCUAACACAUGCAAGUCGAGCGGCAGCACAGUAAGAGCUUGCUCUUACGGGUGGCGAGUGGCGGACGGGUGAGGAAUACAUCGGAAUCUACUUUUUCGUGGGGGAUAACGUAGGGAAACUUACGCUAAUACCGCAUACGACCUACGGGUGAAAGCAGGGGAUCUUCGGACCUUGCGCGAUUGAAUGAGCCGAUGUCGGAUUAGCUAGUUGGCGGGGUAAAGGCCCACCAAGGCGACGAUCCGUAGCUGGUCUGAGAGGAUGAUCAGCCACACUGGAACUGAGACACGGUCCAGACUCCUACGGGAGGCAACAGUGGGGAAUAUUGGACAAUGGGCGCAAGCCUGAUCCAGCCAUACCGCGUGGGUGAAGAAGGCCUUCGGGUUGUAAAGCCCUUUUGUUGGGAAAGAAAAGCAGCAGGUUAAUACCCCGCUGUUCUGACGGUACCCAAAGAAUAAGCACCGGCUAACUUCGUG